rnacentral:rRNA from 1 species
UACAGAGGGUGCAAGCGUUAAUCGGAAUUACUGGGCGUAAAGCGUGCGUAGACGGUUAUGUAAGUCGGGUGUGAAAGCCCCGGGCUCAACCUGGGAAUUGCAUUCGAGACUGCAUAGCUAGGGUUCGGAAGAGGGAAGCGGAAUUUCCGGUGUAGCGGUGAAAUGCGUAGAUAUCGGAAGGAACACCAGUGGCGAAAGCGGCUUCCUGGUCCAGAACCGACGUUCAGGCACGAAAGCGUGGGGAGCAAACAGG